rnacentral:rRNA from 1 species
ACGGGGGGUGCAAGCGUUAUUCGGAAUUAUUGGGCGUAAAGCGUGUGUAGGCGGUUUGUUAAGUCUGAUGUGAAAUCCCCGGGCUCAACCUGGGAAGUGCCUUGGAAACUGGCAGACUUGAAUACGGGAGAGGGUAGUGGAAUUCCAGGUGUAGGAGUGAAAUCCGUAGAUAUCAGGAGGAACACCAGUGGCGAAGGCGGCUGCCUGGACCGGUAUUGACGCUGAGGCGCGAAAGCGUGGGUAGCAAACAG